rnacentral:hammerhead_ribozyme from 1 species
AUCCAGGUGACGAGUCUCAAAUAGGACGAAAUGCACAUUCUGGAU